rnacentral:rRNA from 1 species
CCUACGGGAGGCAGCAGUGAGGAAUCUUGGUCAAUGGACGAGAGUCUGAACCAGCCAAGUAGCGUGCAGGAUGACGGCCCUAUGGGUUGUAAACUUCUUUUAUAUGGGAAUAACAUGUUCCACGUGUGGAAUUCUGUAUGUACCAUAUGAAUAAGGAUCGGCUAACUCCGUGCCAGCAGCCGCGGUAAUACGGAGGCUCCGGGCGUUAUCCGGAUUUAUUGGGUUUAAAGGGAGCGUAGGUGGGUUGUUAAGUCAGGUGGGAAAGUUUGCGGCUCAACCGUAACAUUGCAGUUGAAACUGGCAGUCUUGAGUACAGUAGAGGUGGGCGGAAUGCGUGGUGUAGCGGUGAAAUGCGUAGAUAUCACGAAGAACGCCGAUUGCGAAGGCAGCUCACUGGACUGCAACUGACACUGAGGCUCGAAAGUGUGGGUAUCAAACAGGAUUAGAUACCCGGGUAGUC